AACUCAAAAACUUAGUCUCAGUUCGGAUUGUAGGCUGAAACUCGCCUACAUGAAGCUGGAGUUGCUAGUAAUCGCGAAUCAGCAUGUCGCGGUGAAUACGUUCCCGGGCCCUUGUACACACCGCCCGUCACACCAUGAGAGUUGGCAAUACCCAACGUACGUGAUCUAACCCGCAAGGGAGGAAGCGUCCUAAGGUAGGGUCAGCGAUUGGGGUGAAGUCGUAACAAGGUACC
rnacentral:rRNA from 1 species